AUUUUAUUUGCUCUUUCUUAUUGAUGUUGGUCCCAAAAUGUGGACAUAACUACCCCCACUGACUGGGAUGUUUAGUGUCAUCAUUUAAGUCAGAUUUUGAUUCAUUUUUUUCACCAUAUACUGUAUUUUAGUUUUCCCAAAAGCCAAAAAUGUAAAAAAAAAAUCAAUUUAUUCCGCUAAGUAGAUGAUUGACCCACAGCUCAAUCAAUGGCUGUUUAAUAUAAGUGGUGUGUCUUAUGAACACUGAUGAAUGACUCUUUAAAAUCACUUAUCAAACAUGGAAUUCCCCUGGCAGCCCGACCUGCUUUGCGUAAAAAACAAGGGGAGAUUAUUUCAAAUAGGCACAGCAUGCUUUUUUUAUAUUACAUGCUUACAUUGUUAUUAUGAGUGAGAUAUCUUGAAAAUGUUCACGUUUCCUGCGUUUUUUUUAUUUUUUUAUACCGUUUAACACCGCAUCUAGCAAUGUGGCCCCAUGUGUAAAUCACAUGUGUGGCUCUGCGGCUCUGCGGCAGGCUCCCUCUAACAGCUUAUUGACUGGCUCCCAGUGGAAGAAAGCACCUCCUUUUGGCUGCAGAGAGACUCCAGCGGUUGUCGCCAAAGAGGAGGACAGGGCCGGGAGGCAUUUAUGAGACAUCAUGUCACACACACACACACUAGAAAUAGCAGCCUUUACGCACGGAAUUUACGCACAACGCAUGGGAUGUAUUCCGAUUGUGUGGUAAUAAUAAAUAAUCUAUUGGAGUCCUUGAUUAAUUUUAUUCAUUCUAAUUAGGAUACUGCACUAUAAAUUUUGGUCUCAAAUAUUAAAACAGAAACGAAAUCUUCAAACAUGGCGCUACCCCGGCAUGGGCCCCCAUUUCCCCCCCUACCUUGAUGUAAUGCACGAUAUUAUUAUGUGUGACAGCACAGUGGUCGCUAUGAAGAAGAGAGGAUUUGCUCGCUGUAGAUGACAGACAGGAAGGGCAGCAAUCAUGCAGCCCCCCCACCCUUUUUUUUGUCAGAAUGUACUGUUCGAAGCCGUUUAUCCCUGAUGAUAGAAAAUUGCUCUGUUGCCAGGACGCUGCCACUGAAAUAGAGGGCAGAAGCAACAUUUCCAUUUUCCCGUUCGAAAGCCAUUGAAAUGAAUUAGCGCGAAAUGGGGGGUGGCGGUGGAGGAAGGGAUGAAAAAGAAUCCCCUGGUAAACAAAGGGGGAGAAAACACAGAUACCAUUUUUUAAUCCCCUUAUUUAUUUGUUUGUAAUUAUUAUUACAGCGGUGGUUGCAAACGACAUGCUUGGCCUCUAAUGCUGUUUAAGGCCCAUAUGCAGGCCUGCUUCACUCGCACUCAUCACCCCCACCUGGAUAAUUACAGCUCCUUUUCAUCAUCCAUACACUAAAAAUGGAAUUAAUAAAGAGAUACUUAACCAGGAGCUGGAAGAAGUGCUUAUUUUUCGCAACAAAUAAUUGCAAACAUGAAUACCAGUGUAUAGGAAAACGGAAUAAAUAUUAUUUUACUCGUGGAAUUCGUUAAAAUAUAUUUAAUUCGCAAUAUUUCAAUGCAUUUAUUAAAAACGUUCCUAUUUAUGCACUUUUUUCGUUGAUAUUUCAUGUAACAGUUUAAUUUGGUGUAAACUGAUUGGUCAUGCCUGGAGAGUGGGCGCACGGAUGACGUCAAUAAAAUGCGACUGUGGUAUAGAAGUUGGCGGUUUUUUUGUUGUUGUGAUCAAUAAACGGAGCCUCUACUCGGUCCUCUCAAGUUCCUGGGUUUUUGUCCCAAAAAGCGACUCUAUUAUCGACAAAUAAUGAAAAAAAAAACGGAAGUAGUGGAUUAAAAUAGUGUUGGAGGCACCAAUUUACAGCAGGGAGAAAGUACCGCUCAACUGCAUGCACACUAAAAAGAGGAUUUACCAGCCCGAUGUGAAGUGAGGCGGAAAAGCAGCACAGUGAAAAAGGAAGUCACACCUGUUGAAAACACAGCAUGCUCAAGUUCUCAUGGCAGGUAUGCCUCCGUUCCCCUCUUGGCAGCUCCACCACCCUCCAUCUCCCUCCCCUUUGGUUGGCUUCCACAGCUGUGGUGAGUGAGGGGCAGAUGACCGGAGAUUUGGCCCCUGGGAGAGCGCUGAGCCAUCCUGGUGCUAUUAGACUGGUGGCUAAUAAUAGGUGUUUCAGACUCGGGGAAGAUCAAUCAGGGGGGGGAAUCAUGGGGAAUGUUCAGGCCAGCGCUUUUUACACAUCGGCCCAGAUGGAUGAAAUUACACUUGUCAGUUUUUAGUUGCAUUACUCCCAAAUUGGUUGUCUACUCCCCCCCCCCCCCCAUGCUUCAUUCCUGCUCUUGUUUUUUCUCCCUCUAUUUUUUUUUACCCUGGUUCAUGUGUCAAUGGCCUGCUAAAAGGAUUCAGCGGUGAAAUCCCUGUCAUUUUGUUUUGCGGCCCUCCAGGAAAAGCCAGAUUCACGAAAAAGACGUCCCUUUCUUGUCUUGGCUGGAGGAUUUUCCAUGUUAAGGCAAGCGCGUGAUUGUGUAAAUGUGCCUUUGACAUUUUGUGUGAGGAAUUUAACAUUUAACACAAUAUGUUUAUCACCUGGAUGCAAAAUCUUCCAGGACAAAACUGCUGCAUGUGUUUUGGAUUGGGAUGUUUUUUUUCCCCCCAACAUUAUAUGGACUCUUAAUCUGAUUGUUUUCUGAUAUAUCUGCAUGUACAUUGUAUUAUACCCUUUAAAAGACAAUAAACUCCUUCACAAAAUACCCUUUUCUUAAUUAUUUUUUUACUACAUCAUGAUUUUUCAAAUUUUUGAACUUUCAAAAAGGUGCAAAAUAAUGUAUUUAUUUCCAACGAUGUGUCCACUGUAGCUUAUAUGGCAACUAGAACAGGCAACUGCAUGCAUAACACAAACAUGAACAUAAAUACAGACCAUAUUUCACAUAAACUACUUGGAAUCUUGGUUCCAUUAUUUGCCAGUUGCCUUCGCAUAACUCAUUAAAAAGGGGUAAAAAGUUAUUGUAGUUAUUAUUAUAAAUGCAUGAAAUCAGUGGAAAGCUGGUAAACAUAGGAAUCCAAUGUAAAUCA